AGUGAACGCUGGCGGCGUGCUUAACACAUGCAAGUCGAACGAGAACGGAUUAUAGCUUGCUAUAAUUGUCAGCUAAGUGGCGCACGGGUGAGUAAUGUAUAGGUAAUAUGCCUCUUACUAAGGGAUAACAAAUGGAAACGUUUGCUAAUACCUUAUACUCCUUAUUAACAGAAGUUAAUAAGGGAAAGAUUUAUUGGUAAGAGAUUAGCCUGUAUUGCAUCAGUUAGUUGGUGGGGUAAUGGCUUACCAAGACUAUGACACAUAACUGGUUUGAGAGGAUGAUCAGUCACACUUGGACUGAAACACGGUCCAGACUCCUACGGGAGGCAGCAGUGGGGAAUAUUGCACAAUGGACGAAAGUCUGAUGCAGCAACGCCGCGUGGAGGAUGACACAUUUCGGUGCGUAAACUCCUUUUAUAUGAGAAGAUAAUGACGGUAUUAUAUGAAUAAGCACCGGCUAACUCCGUGCCAGCCGCCGCAGUAA
rnacentral:rRNA from 1 species